AGAUGAGAUAGCCAUGCAUGUCUAGUAUAAGUUAUAUAUUGCGAAACUGCGAAUGGCUCAUUAAAACAGUUAUAAUUUAUUUGAUGAUUUUUUUACAUGGAUAACCGUGGGAAACUGGGGCUAAUACAUGCAUAAAAGCCGCAAGGCUGUAUUUAUUAGUUUCAAAUCAAUGUAACCUAGUUAUUUUGUGAGGAAUCAUAAUAACUUGUCGAAGUGCCGCGAGGCACUACUUCAUUCAAGUUUCUGACCUAUCAGCUUGAUGGUAGUGUAUUGGACUACCAUGGCAAUAACGGGUAACGGAGAAUUGGGGUUCGAUUCCGGAGAGGGAGCCUGAGAAACGGCUACCAUUUCUAAGGAAGGCAGCAGGCGCGUAAAUUACCCAAUCCUGACUCAGGGAGGUAGUUAAUAGAAAUAACACGUUCGGCUCUAUGAGCUCUGAACAUGUAAUGAAAUUAAUUUAAAACACUUUUUGAAACCUAUUGGAGGGAAAGUCUGGUGCC
rnacentral:rRNA from 1 species